rnacentral:rRNA from 1 species
UACACUGAAGGGCUCAGCGUGUGUUGUUUUCCCUUGUCCGAGAGGACCGGGUAACCCGCUGAACCCCCUUCGUGGUAGGGAUCGGGGCUUGCAAUUAUUCCCCGUGAACCAGGAAUUCCCAGUAAGCGCAAGUCAUAAGCUUGCGUUGAUUACGUCCCUGCCCUUUGUACACACCGCAA